GCGCCGGUGGUGACAACGCAGCACACCCGCCUUCCGGGCGGGAGGUUCAGGUUCAAGUCCUGGCCGGCGCU
rnacentral:tRNA from 1 species